rnacentral:misc_RNA from 1 species
UUAAGUUCAGCGGGUCUUCCUACCUGAUCCGAGGUCAACCUUGGGUAAAUAAGGCUUUUAACGGCCGGAACCCGCAGCACUCCCAGAGCGAGAUGUAUUACUACGCUCGGGGUGACAGCGAGCCCGCCACUAGAUUUAGGGGACGCGCGCCACGAGGGCACGCCGAUCCCCAACACCAAGCCCGGGGGCUUGAGGGUUGA